GGGUCAGUAGGUUGGUCGUGCCACCGGUACGUACUGGUCUCACUGAUUCCUCCUUCCUGAAGAACCGUAAUGCCAUUAAUUUGGUGUUGCGGGGAAACAGGACUGUUACUUUGAAAAAAUUAGAGUGUUAAAAGCAAGCUAACGCUUGAAUACAUUAGCAUGGAAUAAUGAAAUAGGACGAUCGACCCUAUUUUGUUGGUUUCUAGGAUUGACGUA
rnacentral:rRNA from 1 species